rnacentral:rRNA from 1 species
GAUGAACGCUGGCGGCGUGCCUAAUACAUGCAAGUCGAGCGAACGGACGAGAAUCUUGCUUCUCUGAUGUUAGCGGCGGACGGGUGAGUAACACGUGGAUAACCUACCUAUAAGACUGGGAUAACUUCGGGAAACCGGAGCUAAUACCGGAUAAUAUUUUGAACCGCAUGGUUCAAAAGUGAAAGACGGUCUUGCUGUCACUUAUAGAUGGAUCCGCGCUGCAUUAGCUAGUUGGUAAGGUAACGGCUUACCAAGGCAACGGUGCAUAGCCGACCUGAGAGGGUGAGCGGCCACACUGGAACUGGGACACGGUCAAGACGCCUACGGGAGGCAGCAGUAGGGAAUCUUCGGCAAUGGGCGAAAGCCUGACGGAGCAACGCCGCGUGAGUGAUGAAGGUCUUCGGAUCGUAAAAAUCUGUUAUUAGGGAAGAACAGAUGUGUAAGUAACUGUGCACAUCUUGACGGUACCUAAUCAGAAAGCCACGGCUAACUACGUG